rnacentral:rRNA from 1 species
UCGGGAAUUUUGGGCAAUGGGCGAAAGCCUGACCCAGCAACGCCGCGUGAGGGAUGAAGUAUUUCGGUAUGUAAACCUCGAAAGAAUGGGAAGAAUAAAUGACGGUACCAUUUAUAAGCUCCGGCUAACUACGUGCCAGCAGCCGCGGUAAUACGUAGGGAGCAAGCGUUGUUCGGAUUUACUGGGCGUAAAGGGCGCGUAGGCGGCGCGGUAAGUCACUUGUGAAAUCUCUGAGCUUAACUCAGAACGGCCAAGUGAUACUGCUGUGCUAGAGUGCGGAAGAGGCAACCGGAAUUCUUGGUGUAGCGGUGAAAUGCGUAGAUAUCAAGAGGAACACCUGAGGCGAAGGCGGGUUGCUGGGCCAACACUGACGCUGAUGCGCGAAAGCCAGGGGAGCAAACG